rnacentral:rRNA from 1 species
AACGAACGCUGGCGGCAUGCCUAACACAUGCAAGUCGAACGAUGCUUUCGGGCAUAGUGGCGCACGGGUGCGUAACGCGUGGGAAUCUGCCCUUUGGUUCGGAAUAACAGCGAGAAAUUGCUGCUAAUACCGGAUGAUGACGUUAAGUCCAAAGAUUUAUCGCCAGAGGAUGAGCCCGCGUAGGAUUAGCUGGUUGGUGUGGUAAAGGCGCACCAAGGCGACGAUCCUUAGCUGGUCUGAGAGGAUGAUCAGCCACACUGGGACUGAGACACGGCCCAGACUCCUACGGGAGGCAGCAGUGGGGAAUAUUGGACAAUGGGCGCAAGCCUGAUCCAGCAAUGCCGCGUGAGUGAUGAAGGCCUUAGGGUUGUAAAGCUCUUUUACCCGUGAUGAUAAUGACAGUAGCGGGAGAAUAAGCCCCGGCUAACUCCGUGCCAGCCGCCGCCGUAA